UCCUCUUCUAUAGCCUCCGCUGCUGUGUUUUCAUUAUUUACCUCUUCUGGGGUAAAUAAUGAAAACACAGUCUCUGUAACUUGCUUAUCAACCGUGUGUAACCCAAGUGAAAUGUUGAGUUCCAUUUUUUUGGUUCGCUACUAUUGCCCUCCAAAAUCUCGCGGUAGUUGAUUAUAUAACUGCAAUACUCGCGAGAUUUACUAAACAGCCAAUCAUUGUUGAGCGUCUGAGUCACAUGUACCACCGUCAGCUCAUUUGUUGGGUAUAUUAGCUGGAGCAAAAAGCAUGGAGGAUUAGAACAAGUUUGGGAGAGCAGAGCUGCAGGUCGGUUAAGCGCAACAUUCUGUUUUUCUUUAAUCUUGUAUGAUGCUGAUAAAAUUGUACUAACUUUAGGAGUCUCCGGCCGUAAGCUGAGGGAUAAGAGAAACACAAAACCGCUUGUAUGCCUUAUGAACUGCGGAAUUGGCCAGGUUCGAUGGCGAGCUGAAGAAUCAGGUCCAAGAGCCUAAAGGAUUUCACCUGUGGUGUUAAGAUUCGGUUUCCCCACCAGGCUGGUGGGAGGCUUCCUGCAGCCCAUGAACAAAAUAGUUUCCACUCUGAUCUGACUUUUGUCAGCAUAUGAACUGUAAACUCUAAACUCACCUGACCCUGUUGAACCGCCUCAGUUCAGUUUUCAGGAGUUUUAUGAACUGAAUGGUGUGGCUUGUUACUGGAACUGUGGAACUAAUUUGUUUUUUUUUAUUUGUUAAUUUAAUUUGUUUUCUUUGUGUAUUAUUUCCUUUUAUUUUAAUAUGGCCAUUUAAAUGUUUUUUUUCCUUUCUUAUUGUAAUGUAAAUAAUUAAUCACUGUGAAUACAAGGCACUCACAUCUGCAACUUCUAGUCUGUCUACUCCUUCCUGAGCCGUAUCUAGACUUCUAAGAACUAGCCCAUUGACUUUGUUGGUCAUGAUCUAUUUUUAAUUAUCUAGAAAUAUAGUAUACUGGUUACACAGAUAUGCUACACGUGGUUUUGCUGUAUCGCCUCUUUAAUUUACGCGCAUGUCGGUCCGAUGUCGUGGCGUUUUCCUAGCAGUGACCCAGAUUCAGUCUGGAUUGAGCUCAUCCAGUUCAUACAUCGGUUUGCCUUUAAGAGGAAAUAAUAUCAGAAUACACAUCAGUAUUAAUGCUGUAAACUUGAUAACACCAGUAAAAUAGUUUACUUCACAAUAAUGGAAUAACGUCGAUGUUCACUGACAAAACUCGGACUAUGCUACAUAAUAAAUAGAAGCCCGACCUAAACAAGGUUGACCCACUUAAAUAAACUCAACGUAAC